rnacentral:rRNA from 1 species
AGUGAACGCUGGCGGCAGGCCUAAUACAUGCAAGUCGAACGGCAGCACAGCAGAGCUUGCUCUGUGGGUGGCGAGUGGCGGACGGGUGAGGAAUACAUGGGAAUCUGCCCAGUCGUGGGGGAUAACGUAGGGAAACUUACGCUAAUACCGCAUGCGCCCUUCGGGGGAAAGCCGGGGACCUUCGGGCCUGGCGCGAUUGGAUGAGCCCAUGUCGGAUUAGCUAGUUGGCGGGGUAACGGCCCACCAAGGCGACGAUCCGUAGCUGGUCUGAGAGGAUGAUCGGCCACAAUGGAACGGAGACACGGUCCAGAAUCCUACGGGAGGCAACAGUAGGGAAUAUUGGACAAUGGGCGCAAGCCUGAUCCAGCCAUGCCGCGUGAGUGAAGAAGGCCUUCGGGUUGUAAAGCUCUUUUGUCCGGAAAGAAAAGCUUCGGGUUAAUACCCCUGGAGUCCUGACGGUACCGGAAGAAUAAGCACCGGCUAACUUCGUGCCAGCCGCCGCGGUAA